rnacentral:misc_RNA from 1 species
GAGAGAAAGGAAGGAAGAAAAUACUUGGUCUGUUGUGUUUCUUUGCUCUGUUUGGUGUUCUCUUCUUUAUUGAUGGUGUAAAGUGAAGCUAGCUUAGGGUUUUUUUAGUUCUACUUUUAUGCUGUUAAAAAAAGAAAAGGAGAAAGUGUAUGUUAGUUUGCAAAGGUGUCGCCUCAAUGCCCCAGUUCCUCUCGCCUUACAAGUCUUGGACGCUCGCUUAUUUUUGGCUGAGGCGAGGCGCUAGGGGCUCACCCCACCUCGCUUCGCCUGGCGCAUUUUCUUGCCUUUAACAAGACUUUGCAAUAGUCCUUGAAUACAUCCCAAGUCAGCUCUGGUUCCUCUUUCUCCAAUCUCUAGAACUAGAGUUGUGCCUUGCCAAGCAUGUGGAAGGCUGCCAGACUUACCUUAUUCGUAUUAGGUGUCCGUUGGUUUGAGAAAAAUUGUUCACAUUUAUGUAACCAGCUUAGUGGGUCCUUUGACCCGUCGAAUGUUAGAAAAUCCAGCUUUGCAUACCUUGUACCAUUCUUGCCUCAGGUCGAGCAUCUAUUCUUUCUUUGAUUCUAUUGCCCAAAUUGACAUGGCUGUUGCUGCUAGUUCCUACUCUUUCUUUCGGUUAUUUCCUGCUAAGGAGUUCUUGAAGUUGUCUAGAUAAAUUAUGUGAUUGAACUUCCAAUAUGUACUCUGAUUGAGUUACUUGGGCCUCCAUUCUCAACUCGGCUUGAGCCACUCUUGCAUCGGUCACUGCUUGUGCCUCCUUGAAGAGAGCCAAUAAUUCUUCUACGAGGUUUGAACUUUGAAUUGCCAAUUAUGUCUGGCUCUGAUACCAAUUUUUUAAGUUCUCAGGUCAAGGAUCGCGUCAUAGGACGAUUGACUGGGAAACCUCCUUCCAUAGUCAAGGUCUUCCCCUUGUUUGGAAUCCUGCUGCGACAUGAGGAGUCUAUGGUGAUUGUUGAUAAGAGCUCGUUCAAGGGAGCCCUUCAACCUUGACUCAUUAAAAGGAGAGAGUCUCAAACCUCUUGUAUUUGGGAAUAAUUUAAUUGAUAAUUUUAGUAAUUCAGGUGACCUCUUUUGUAAGAGUGGUUUAUAUAAUAGUUAUUGAAAUCCUACUAGUGAUAGAAGUUCUAAUCCAAC